AAGCACCGGCUAACUACGUGCCAGCAGCCGCGGUAAUACGUAGGGUGCAAGCGUUAUCCGGAAUUAUUGGGCGUAAAGAGCUCGUAGGCGGUUUGUCGCGUCUGCUGUGAAAUCUGGGGGCUCAACCCCCAGCCUGCAGUGGGUACGGGCAGACUAGAGUGCGGUAGGGGAGAUUGGAAUUCCUGGUGUAGCGGUGGAAUGCGCAGAUAUCAGGAGGAACACCGAUGGCGAAGGCAGAUCUCUGGGCCGUAACUGACGCUGAGGAGCGAAAGGGUGGGGAGCAAACAGGCUUAGAUACCCUGGUAGUCCACCCCGUAAACGUUGGGAACUAGUUGUGGGGUCCAUUCCACGGAUUCCGUGACGCAGCUAACGCAUUAAGUUCCCCGCCUGGGGAGUACGGCCGCAAGGCUAAAACUCAAAGGAAUUGACGGGGACCCGCACAAGCGGCGGAGCAUGCGGAUUAAUUCGAUGCAACGCGAAGAACCUUACCAAGGCUUGACAUAUACGAGAACGGGCCAGAAAUGGUCAACUCUUUGGACACUCGUAAACAGGUGGUGCAUGGUUGUCGUCAGCUCGUGUCGUGAGAUGUUGGGUUAAGUCCCGCAACGAGCGCAACCCUCGUUCUAUGUUGCCAGCACGUUAUGGUGGGAACUCAUGGGAUACUGCCGGGGUCAACUCGG
rnacentral:rRNA from 1 species